UCCAGCGUUGCACGUUGGAGAGGAAGCAAGAGGCCCACGUGAAGACAACACGUAGCGUGCUCCAGCAGAAACAGCAACACACGUAAGAGGGGGUUGCGUCUGGAAAUUUGAUUAGUCCGUGGUCCAUAGCUUUUGAGGAAGUCCACCACGCGUCCAUGAAGCAGCAGCACCGAGAAUGGGAGAAAAGGUGCGCGUAGAGAAGCCCACCAGCAACACGUGGUGGCAGAAGCACUUGGCCUGGUCCAGGAGGCAACACGUGGAAGGAACUCCAAAAAGAAAAUGCAUCCAGCAAAGCAGCGUGAUCCAGAGCACAACACACAAACAACCACGACCAUGAGCAAUUAAUAGCAAGCAGCGUCCAGCGAAAAUGGGGGGUGCAUCCAGCACACGUCCAGCAGCAACCCACGUACAGUCUUCAAGCUUCCACGGUCCAGCACGUGAAGACAAGCUCCAGCCGCAACCUAGAGGGGGCGAAGUUCAUUUUAUUAGUUUGGAUAGAAGCAAGUGCACAGCCAGACGAGUGCUAGAAUGGAGGGUUACGGUUGAAUUCCAAAGAAGUGGUGUCUCGGCCUGUACGUGUGUUGGGCAGCAGCAGCACGGGAGGAGUCUUUGGAUUUAAGCUCCAGUCGUCACUUGUUUUGGAAGUGGUGCUGUGCGCGGAGAAGUCACAUCCGGAGGUGCUACACGGGUUGCUGGAAGAGAAGCGAAGCAGCGUUGGGGAGAGAGCUUAGAUGUGUUCGAGCAGCCACCGAGAGGGAGAGAGUGGUGUCACGGCUGGAAUAGUGUGCAUGCUAGAAGCCUUUAUCAUUUUCAUUUGGUGAUUUAAUGCUUUGGAGAUUUCUUUUCUUUGAGAAAUGAAGAAGUGAUUAAGUGAAAGUUGGUGGGAAGUCACGUCCAGGAGCAAAGGCAAUGGGAUUUCUCUUUCUUUUAGAAAUCAAGCACGGUGAAUGCCCACAUCAACAUUUGGAGGACUUCCACAUCAUGUGCUCUUCAAUGAAACCUCCACAUGUCCAGGAUGACGAUAUGUUCUUAAAGGCAUUUCCGCAAUCAUUACAAGGAGUAGCAAGGGAUUGGCUUUAUUGUCUUCCUUUAGGGUGUAUCACUUCUUGGGAAGAUCUUAAGCGAUUGUUCUUGGAUGAAUUCUUCCCUGCUCAGUAUGGUUACAACAAUAAUCCUGGAUGGAAUGACACUAACUUGGGAUGGUAGGGUACCCUACAGCAACAGCAAUAUCAGGAAGCACCAUCUCAGAAUGCUUUUAUGCCUCCACCAGUCCAGGAGCUACAGCAGCUGCAGUCUUAUGAGCCUGCCGAAAUAGCUCCUCAGCCUUCUACUUCUGAGCUUACAUUGAAGAAGUUAUUAGAGCAGAUGACCAUGCAAAACCUUCAGUUCAAGCAAGAGAACAUGGAGUUUCAGUAGGAAACACAAGCUGUCAUUCAGAGUUUGACUGAUUAGAUAGGGCAGAUGGCCACUCAACUCACUGAGGAAUAGUCUCAAGAUUCAGAGAGACCAUUUCAGACUGUUCAGAUUCCAGAUGAAGUUAGUGUCAUUGACUUAGGAGAUGGGUGACGACAAAUUUAUGAACACCAAAAACGGCGCCACAAACUUGUUUAACAAUCGGCAAGUGUGACCGAAUCGUAUCAAGUAAUAAAACUAGGUAAGACCAAGUAUCGUUUUCCCAAAGGA